rnacentral:rRNA from 1 species
AGUGAACGCUGGCGGCAGGCCUAACACAUGCCAGUCGAGCGGCAGCGCGGGGGCAACCCUGGCGGCGAGCGGCGGACGGGUGAGGAAUUCGUCGGAAUCUGCCUUUUUGUGGGGGAUAACGUAGGGAAACUUACGCUAAUACCGCAUACGUCCUACGGGAGAAAGUGGGGGACCGCAAGGCCUCACGCAGAAAGAUGAGCCGACGACCGAUUAGCUAGUUGGUGGGGUAAAGGCCCACCAAGGCGACGAUCGGUAGCUGGGCUGAGAGGAUGAUCAGCCACACUGGAACUGAGACACGGCCCAGACUCCUGCGGGGGGCAGCAGUGGGGAAUAUUGGACAAUGGGCGCAAGCAUGAUCCAGCAAUGCCGCGUGUGUGAAGAAGGCCUUCGGGUUGUAAAGCACUUUUGUCCGGAAAGAAAUCCCUGGAGCUAAUACCUUCGGGGGAUGACGGUACCGGACGAAUAAGCUCCGGCUAACUUCGUG